GACGAACGCUGGCGGCGUGCUUAACACAUGCAAGUCGAACGGAAAGGCCCUGCUUUUGUGGGGUGCUCGAGUGGCGAACGGGUGAGUAACACGUGAGUAACCUGCCCUUGACUUUGGGAUAACUUCAGGAAACUGGGGCUAAUACCGGAUAGGAGCUCCUGCUGCAUGGUGGGGGUUGGAAAGUUUCGGCGGUUGGGGAUGGACUCGCGGCUUAUCAGCUUGUUGGUGGGGUAGUGGCUUACCAAGGCUUUGACGGGUAGCCGGCCUGAGAGGGUGACCGGCCACAUUGGGACUGAGAUACGGCCCAGACUCCUACGGGAGGCAGCAGUGGGGAAUAUUGCACAAUGGGCGGAAGCCUGAUGCAGCAACGCCGCGUGCGGGAUGACGGCCUUCGGGUUGUAAACCGCUUUCGCCUGUGACGAAGCGUGAGUGACGGUAAUGGGUAAAGAAGCACCGGCUAACUACGUGCCAGCAGCCGCGGUGAUACGUAGGGUGCGAGCGUUGUCCGGAUUUAUUGGGCGUAAAGGGCUCGUAGGUGGUUGAUCGCGUCGGAAGUGUAAUCUUGGGGCUUAACCCUGAGCGUGCUUUCGAUACGGGUUGACUUGAGGAAGGUAGGGGAGAAUGGAAUUCCUGGUGGAGCGGUGGAAUGCGCAGAUAUCAAGAGGAACACCAGUGGCGAAGGCGGUUCUCUGGGCCUUUCCUGACGUUGAGGAGCGAAAGCGUGGGGAGCGAACAGGCUUAGAUACCCUGGUAGUCCACGCUGUAAACGGUGGGUACUAGGUGUGGGGUCCAUUCCACGGGUUCCGUGCCGUAGCUAACGCUUUAAGUACCCCGCCUGGGGAGUACGGCCGCAAGGCUAAAACUCAAAGGAAUUGACGGGGCCCCGCACAAGCGGCGGAGCAUGCGGAUUAAUUCGAUGCAACGCGUAGAACCUUACCUGGGUUUGACAUGGAUCGGGAGUGCUCAGAGAUGGGUGUGCCUCUUUUGGGGUCGGUUCACAGGUGGUGCAUGCCUGUCGUCAGCUCGUGUCGUGAGAUGUUGGGUUAAGUCCCGCAACGAGCGCAACCCUUGUUCACUGUUGCCAGCACGUUAUGGUGGGGACUCAGUGGAGACCGCCGGGGUCAACUCGGAGGAAGGUGGGGAUGACGUCAAGUCCUCAUGCCCCUUAUGUCCAGGGCUUCACGCAUGCUACAAUGGCUGGUACAGAGAGUGGCGAGCCUGUGAGGGUGAGCGAAUCUCGGAAAGCCGGUCUCAGUUCGGAUUGGGGUCUGCAACUCGACCUCAUGAAGUCGGAGUCGCUAGUAAUCGCAGAUCAGCAACGCUGCGGUGAAUACGUUCCCGGG
rnacentral:rRNA from 1 species